GGGGAUUUAGCUCAGUGGUAGAGCGCUUGCCUAGGAAGCGCAAGGCCCUGGGUUCAGUCCCCAGCCCCCA
rnacentral:tRNA from 1 species